rnacentral:tRNA from 1 species
GCAUUGGUGGUUCAAUAGUAAAAUUCUUGCCUCCCAGACAGGAGAGCCAGGUUCAACUCCUGGCCAAUGCA